rnacentral:rRNA from 1 species
AUGCUGGCAAUCUCCAACAACCAACCGAAACAAACACAGCUUCACACACAGCCGCGACCACUGCUCCUUGGUCCCUCCUUCAAUCAACCUGAACACAAGCCACAGCGUACAGGAAUGGUGGGCGGUCUCCGUGGAUCUCUCUGCCGUACUCCGGCGAGGGCUCCUGAGGCGGAAGAAGCCCGUGACGGCAAGACUGUUUCCGAACUCGUCCAUGUCAUCGCCAAGGACUCCACCGUGGCAUCCUCCCGGCCUCCUCUGCUUGCCGUCCAUACACCGGCAGCACGGUUGAAGAGGAAGCUGGAGUGGCCCGUGGAGACGCCGAGGCUCCCGUCCUGGAGACGGUUCACACCACGUGGCGAGGAGACGCCGUCGUGGGCGAGCCCAGUCCCCCGUGGCACGAUUGCCGCCACUCCUCGUGGGCAUUGUGUUAAGACUGCCUAUGGGGGGUCUGUGCAGCGGAAGCCAACUACGAGCGCGAGGAAGCCGGCAUGCAUCGUACAGAGGAGUGAUGGUGCCCGGGGGCUCGGGUCGGGGUUCUCGAUGGCGGUGAGGUGUCUGCCGGCAACGGUGGUAAAUUCCACGGAGGUGCCGCAUUAUGAGCUCCAGGAGGACCCCUCGUUCUGGAUGGAGAACAAUGUGCAGGUUGUUAUCCGUGUCCGUCCUUUAAACGACACAGAGAAAAAUCUUCAUGGUCACAGUCGGUGCUUGAAACGAGAAAGUGCACAGAGCAUCACAUGGAUUGGACAGCCAGAAACCCCUUUCACAUUUGACCACGUUGCUUGUGAGUCAGUGAAUCAGGAAGUGCUUUUCCAAGUUGCUGGUUUACCAAUGGUUGAGAACUGUAUGGCUGGAUACAAUAGCUGUGUAUUUGCUUAUGGGCAGACUGGAAGUGGGAAGACACACACAAUGCUUGGCGAAAUCAGUCAGUUGGGAGUGAAGCCUGGUCCAGAAUGUGGCAUGACACCACGUAUUUUUGAGUUCUUGAUUGCGAGAAUCAGAGCGGAAGAAGAGAGCAGGAGGGAUGAGAACCUUAAGUACAACUGCGAGUGUUCUUUCCUGGAGAUUUACAAUGAACAAAUUACAGAUCUUCUUGACCCUUCAUCCACAAAUCUUCAACUCCGAGAAGAUACGAAGGUUGGUGUCUAUGUUGAAAAUGUGACUAAACGUGAAGUUACGUGCGUCAGUGACAUCAUAACACUUUUGAUGCAGGGUUCUGCGAAUAGGAAAGUGUCUAUGACACAUAUGAAUCAUGCAAGUAGCCGCUCCCACAGUGUUCUCACAUGCACUAUUGAGAGUAGGUGGGAGAAGGAUUCCAUAUCUAACACACGGUUUGCACGACUGAAUAUAGUCGAUCUCGCCGGGUCUGAAAGGCAAACAUCAUCUGGUGCUGAAGGUGAGAGGCUGAAGGAAGCUUCUAAUAUCAACAAAUCAUUAUCAACAGUCAGCCAUGUGAUAAUGAGUUUAGUUGAUCUUACACAUGGAAAGAAAAGGCAUGUUCCUUACAGGGACUCAAGAUUGAUGUUUCUUCUCCUGGAUUCACUUGGUGGAAACUCCAAGACAUUGAUCAUUGCAAACGUCAGCCCUUCGUUGUGUUCAAGUAAUGGAACACUCAGUACUCUCAAGUUUGCUCAGCGUGCAAGGCUCAUUCAGAACAAUGCGGUUGUCAAUGAAGAUGCUAUAGGGGAUGUGCGUGCUUUGCAAGAUCAGAUACAUGUCCUGAAGGAGGAGCUUGCUGUCAUCAACCUUGAACAUGUGCCUCGAACACAUGGAGCCCUUGAAACUGAAGAGCAGCGCAAAUCUGAGGUUGUUUGUCAUCUAUGUAAGGACAGGGAAUCUGCCAUUUGCGAAUUGCAGAUGCUGCGGUCUCAAUUUACCAAGCUUCUGCAAGAAAAGGAAACUGCGGAAGAAUGCCAUCUCCAGUCAAAGAACCAUUAA